UGCUGUCUCAUGAAGCAGUGUAUUAUUACAGAUAAUCUACGAUUAUCCCACACAGAGCUGUUGGAAUUACUCCAUGAUGAUUUCAAAGAAAAUUUUCUUCUCUAAACACUCUUAUCCCAAGCUACAUCUUCUCCUAUUUUGUACCAAGGCCGGAUGCCCAGUCUGUUGGUCAUGCUGUUACCUACAAUUCCACGUGUGCUCUAGGAACCUGACUCAGGAACACUGGGCUACGAUUCUCGAUGACUUUCUUCUGCAGAUCACUGCAGCGUGCCUCCUCUUUCCUAGCUCUACCACACGGAAUUGGGGCUUCAAGAAGACUGAGUGCAUCCAUACAGAGCACAAAUCCCUUUGCCAAGAAGGAAAUCACAGAGCUUAUCAGGAAAGAUGUGUGUCUGUAAUGUCAGCCAUCCCCGGCAUGCUGAAAUAUGAAAUAAAUGAGGUGGAGUUUAAUUUUAGGGUCUACAAAUUUGUAAUGUGUUCAUCAUUCCUGUUGCCAUUUUGCAUGGCAGGCUGA
rnacentral:lncRNA from 1 species